AGAGUUUGAUCCUGGCUCAGGAUGAACGCUGGCGGCGUGCCUAAUACAUGCAAGUCGAGCGAACGGACGAGAAGCUUGCUUCUCUGAUGUUAGCGGCGGACGGGUGAGUAACACGUGGAUAACCUACCUAUAAGACUGGGAUAACUUCGGGAAACCGGAGCUAAUACCGGAUAAUAUUUUGAACCGCAUGGUUCAAAAGUGAAAGACGGUCUUGCUGUCACUUAUAGAUGGAUCCGCGCUGCAUUAGCUAGUUGGUAAGGUGACGGCUUACCAAGGCAACGAUGCAUAGCCGACCUGAGAGGGUGAUCGGCCACACUGGAACUGAGACACGGUCCAGACUCCUACGGGAGGCAGCAGUAGGGAAUCUUCCGCAAUGGGCGAAAGCCUGACGGAGCAACGCCGCGUGAGUGAUGAAGGUCUUCGGAUCGUAAAACUCUGUUAUUAGGGAAGAACAUAUGUGUAAGUAACUGUGCACAUCUUGACGGUACCUAAUCAGAAAGCCACGGCUAACUACGUGCCAGCAGCCGCGGUAAUACGUAGGUGGCAAGCGUUAUCCGGAAUUAUUGGGCGUAAAGCGCGCGUAGGCGGUUUUUUAAGUCUGAUGUGAAAGCCCACGGCUCAACCGUGGAGGGUCAUUGGAAACUGGAAAACUUGAGUGCAGAAGAGGAAAGUGGAAUUCCAUGUGUAGCGGUGAAAUGCGCAGAGAUAUGGAGGAACACCAGUGGCGAAGGCGACUUUCUGGUCUGUAACUGACGCUGAUGUGCGAAAGCGUGGGGAUCAAACAGGAUUAGAUACCCUGGUAGUCCACGCCGUAAACGAUGAGUGCUAAGUGUUAGGGGGUUUCCGCCCCUUAGUGCUGCAGCUAACGCAUUAAGCACUCCGCCUGGGGAGUACGACCGCAAGGUUGAAACUCAAAGGAAUUGACGGGGACCCGCACAAGCGGUGGAGCAUGUGGUUUAAUUCGAAGCAACGCGAAGAACCUUACCAAAUCUUGACAUCCUUUGACAACUCUAGAGAUAGAGCCUUCCUCUUCGGGGGACAAAGUGACAGGUGGUGCAUGGUUGUCGUCAGCUCGUGUCGUGAGAUGUUGGGUUAAGUCCCGCAACGAGCGCAACCCUUAAGCUUAGUUGCCAUCAUUAAGUUGGGCACUCUAAGUUGACUGCCGGUGACAAACCGGAGGAAGGUGGGGAUGACGUCAAAUCAUCAUGCCCCUUAUGAUUUGGGCUACACACGUGCUACAAUGGACAAUACAAAGGGCAGCGAAACCGCGAGGUCAAGCAAAUCCCAUAAAGUUGUUCUCAGUUCGGAUUGUAGUCUGCAACUCGACUACAUGAAGCUGGAAUCGCUAGUAAUCGUAGAUCAGCAUGCUACGGUGAAUACGUUCCCGGGUCUUGUACACACCGCCCGUCACACCACGAGAGUUUGUAACACCCGAAGCCGGUGGAGUAACCUUUUAGGAGCUAGCCGUCGAAGGUGGGACAAAUGAUUGGGGUGAAGUCGUAACAAGGUAGCCGUAUCGGAAGGUGCGGCUGGAUCACCU
rnacentral:rRNA from 1 species